rnacentral:rRNA from 1 species
GAUGAACGCUAGCGACAGGCUUAACACAUGCAAGUCGAGGGGCAGCGAUAGUUGUAGCAAUACAAUUAGUCGGCGACCGGCGCACGGGUGAGUAACACGUAUGCAACCUACCCAUAACGAGGGGGAUAAGCGGAAGAAAUUCCGUCUAACUCCCCCAUAGUCCUGGGUGCUGCAUGGCAUUCAGGGGAAAGGUCAGCCGGGUAGGGGAUGGGCAUGCGGCGCAUUAGCUAGUUGGCGGGGCAACGGCCCACCAAGGCGACGAUGCGUAGGGGUUCUGAGAGGAAGGUCCCCCANACUGGUACUGAGACACGGACCAGACUCCUACGGGAGGCAGCAGUGAGGAAUAUUGGUCAAUGGGCGCAGGCCUGAACCAGCCAAGUCGCGUGAGGGAUGACGGUCCUACGGAUUGUAAACCUCUUUUGUCGGGGAGUAACGUGCGGGACGGUCCCGUAUUGAGAGUACCCGAAGAAAAGCAUCGGCUAACUCCGUG